AAUAUAUAUAUAUGUAAAACUUCAAAACUCAUGUGCAUUGUGCUUUACUGAGUUUUUUUGGCAACCAAACUGACUGUAUUUGCUUCGAAAUGCCAAUUUGUAAUGUGACAUCAGGGUUCACUUGGAAUUUUUUGUUUUUAUUUUGAUUUAGUAUGGACUAAAGAACAGAAAAACGAUCUCUUUUCCAUUUCAACUUCCCAAGUUUUAAUGAUGCUAUUUUCACUUCCAAGUUCCAAAUGCCAUUUUGAAAUGCGAUUUGAUAUAAUGUCAACAUAUCGGUUUAAAAAGAUAAGGGUAACUCAUUCAGUUAUCUCAUUAUAACUCUACUUAAAGAUGAUAUAGUAAGUUAAAUCAAAAUUGCUCUUCUUAGUAUAAAAUGGUUAUGCUUGACCAUUUUUAACCAAUACCUUUAUAAGUUUUGUUUACGUUGUAUACUUAAAUCUAAUCCAUUGGUAAAUACUACAAUCAGUGAGUGUGAUUUUGAAGCUUAUUACCUAUUUAAGAUGCAAGGAAUUGUGUUAUUUGUUGCAGAGACAUACAUUUCUAAUGGUCAGCAUCACACCCAACAUGUUUCUGCCUCAAUAUUUCCAAAUCUCUUUUUCUCUCAAUUUUACUUAUAGCUGGGUGUGGGUUAAAUUUAUUUCCUUCUUGCAGUUGUGCAACAAAUUCCAAGACAAAGGAAGAGGUUGCAAUCAAGAGAAUUGCGAAUGCAUUUGAUAACAGGAUUGAUGCUAAAAGGAUCCUACACGAAAUCAAACUGCUUUGCCACUUGGAUCAUGUGUAUGCUGUAAGAUUGAGUAAUAGAAAUGUGAAAAUUCUGCUAUUUAUAUACUUAUAAUUUGAAAAUUCUACUUCAAAUAAAAAUCAAUUCAAGGUUUUUAUAUUUGUUCUCCAAAGAGUGUGGGUAAUAAAGGAGAACUGGAAAAAAGAAAAAGAAAAUGGGUACUAAAAAUUAGAAAACAAAACAAAUAGUGUGGACAAAGGAGUUUCAAUUUUGUGUAUUAUAAAUUUUAUUGAAUGUUAGUGCUCUUGGAAAUUAAAACAGUUAUAAAAAUCCAAUAUAGUUUUUCUUCUACCGCUUGCUUAUGAUCUGUUACAGCUAUAACUUUUGUAUAAUCUUCAUGUUAAAUAUAAUUAAGUUUAGGUGAAUGUUUUUCUUUGAACACUUAUUAGUUAUUUUGUGUUUUUCUUUGAAUGUUUUGGCCUCAAGUUUUGUGGAUCUUGUAAUCGAGUUUGAUCUUAAGGUCACUCUUCUCAAAGGCCUAAGACAGGAAUUGACAAGCAGAUUGGAGUUUAUAUAUAGAUGUGUUUGGUAAUCUGGAGAGUAGAAACUUGCUCAUUUUGUGUUUUUGAUAAUUUUACCUUACAUGUAAUUUGGUUGCGUUGUAAAUUUUUUGUUUUUGUGGGUAUUAGGGGGCAUGUUUGGUAAUCUGUACUUGAUAUUAUAUUUUUGUGAAUAUUAUGAGACAUGUUUUUUUGUGGAUAUUAGAAGACGUGUUUGGUAA